UGCUGUUGAUAUUUUCCAGCACCAAUAAUAGUUGCAGAGCUGCAUUUCUUGAUUACAAGAUCAGCAGUAGAAACACCUCUUUCAGUUGCGACGAUAGAAACCUCGACGACUGCCUCAUCGCCGACGAUUUGGAGGUGGAGUUUUUGCUGGAUUCUGACAUAACCCGGAUGCUUCAACAGAGUGGGGAUCCAUUUUCUGGAUAUACACCCUCUCGAACCCAAACACCUGAAUGUAAAGACGGUUAUCCAUAUCUGAAUUGCAAAUGCCCUCCUUACAUUUUGGUUGCUAAUUUUGAUGGCAUUUGUGAAUUAUAUGUAUUUUGGUUGCUCAUUAGUCCCACUAUUAUUAAAACGUUUUAAUUUUUAAAGAUUUGUGUAAUUGAUAAUUAAAUGUUUUUUUUUUGAAAAUAUAAUUAAAUGUUAAUUAAUGCUACAAUUUGAAAAUGAAAGAAUUACUAACUGUAAGAAUUGUUUAAAAAAUAUAGUUUUUUGAAUUAUUUCAUAUAUACAAAGUUGUAUACUUGGAAGUUUUUAGACAACUUUGUAAGAUAAAAACAUUUCUAAGUUUAUUGUCAUAAAAUAAUUAUAAGUCAUUUUAAAAUUUUUCAAAAAGAAAAAUAUUUUUUGAAAAGUGAAAUUAUAACUUUAUAAACACAGAUUUAUAUAAUGUUAAUACUUUGAUUUAUGGGUAGGUAUCAUCGUCAAUCAUCAAUAAUCACCAUGCACUAGUCACGAUCACCACUGCUAUUACUAUGACCACCAAAAUUUAUCAGUAUUAAUUUGAGAUUUAAUGAAAGAAAAUAAAUUAUUUUCCUGAAACAUAUUUUCAAAUCUUAAAUAGUAUUUUAACGGUGUGUAAUUAUGUUAAGUAAUUAUGUUAAAUAGUAUUUUUAUGAGAAAUUUCCUAUAUUAAGUAAUUAUAUUUAAGUAUGAAGUUUUCAUGAGUCACUAAAGCUCUAACGUAAGCUUACAUGUAUGAUUUCAUAUGAUAAGAAAUUUUCUAUGUUAAGUAAUUAUGUUUAAGUAUGAAUUUUUCAUGAGUUUCUUACGUUCUAAAGUAAGCUUACAAUAUGAAUUUAAGAAGACUAAAGAAUAAGACAAGUUUUAUGAUAAGUGUUAUGAAUUAAGAAUUAAAACAAGGAUUUUGGGCUCUAAUAUACUCGAUGUGAAUUUGAUGCGAGAUUUGAUUUUAUUAUGUACGAUAAGCAUGCUCGGCAUUUGAUGCCAUUAUGAUAAGAAGCUAUGAUCAUAUGCUAGGCACAUGGGUGUCUUAUGUUAGGGCGGACGCGCUCUAUAUGUUCUGAAAAGGUUGGCGACCUAAGGCCAUUNNNNNNNNNNNNNNNNNNNNNNNNNNNNNNNNNNNNNNNNNNNNNNNNNNNNNNNNNNNNNNNNNNNNNNNNNNNNNNNNNNNNNNNNNNNNNNNNNNNNNNNNNNNNNNNNNNNNNNNNNNNNNNNNNNNNNNNNNNNNNNNNNNNNNNNNNNNNNNNNNNNNNNNNNNNNNNNNNNNNNNNNNNNNNNNNNNNNNNNNNNNNNNNNNNNNNNNNNNNNNNNNNNNNNNNNNNNNNNNNNNNNNNNNNNNNNNNNNNNNNNNNNNNNNNNNNNAUGUUAUUAAUUAUAAGUUUAUUUGAUAUUUCGAAGGACUAAAGUAUUUAUGGUAAUUAAAUGUUUAUGUGAAGGAUUUAUGGUAUAAUUAGAACUAAAUUAUUCAUGUUAUUAAUUAUAAGUUUAUUUGAUAUUUCUUUGCUAUAAAUGUAAAUGUAUGUUGAAAUUUAAUGAUUCUAUAAUUAUCAAUGAUUUUAUGAAAUUUGUGUUUUAAAUAAGUUGCCAUCGCAACUUUGGUAAGUAUGUGAAUUAUGAGCACCACUGAGUUUUAUACUCAGCGCGUCGAUUUUUAUCACGCGUAGGUUGAAGACCAUGGUUGCUACUUGAAGAUUAGAAGAGUAGUAUCAGAGCAGAAGUGACUAUUUUGGUAGUAGUAUAUUGAGAUUUAUGUAUUUAAGAAUUAUGGCAUGUAUAAUUAUUACAUUUGUUAGAGCUUAUGUGAUUGGAAAUAUAAGUGAAGCAUGUAAUUAUUUUUGGUGUAUAUAUUUGGAUAUAACCAUAAGAUUUAUUAAAUGAUUGAAUAUGAAAUAUUUUAAGAUAGUUGGUAUGAUUAGUGCAUUAAGACUUGAUAUAUAUAAUGAAUGCAAUUAAUUGAUGGAUAUUAAACGCCAUCGAGGAUUUAUACAAUUAUGAAAAUAUAAAAGUGUUGUUGUAUUAUGAUGAUAAUUUGGAGAUGUUGGAAGUUUGAAGUUUAAUUGGGAGUGUUUUGUAUUCACAUGUUUGGCGAGCUCAGUAUUUAAAGGGAUAUUCUUUCAGUAUUUAUGUAGGAUUUUUCCCAAUCUAUAUAACAAAAAAGAUAAGAAAAUGAAAUGAAAUUACUAUUAUAAAAAAAAUUAUUACUCGCUAAACUUGUGAAUACUCAGUUACUUCUAAUUCAUAAUUUUAGUUUUAUGAUUUAUAUGUAGACGGUGCCUCCGGCACAGAAUGUGGCAUUCGCCGUCCGGUCUCUCGGGACUGGGCAGUGGGUGUUACAUAUUCUAUUUUUGGUGUUUAUUUUAUAUAGAGAAUUUUAAUAUAAAUGAAAAUUUUGGAAAGGAUGCCAAAAGAAAAAGUCUAAAAUACCCUUCAAUAACCCUUAUUACUGCCUUUAUUUCGGUUCAAUUAACAAGAAUAGUGGCAAACAAAAUGUGGGUUGGGCAAUUAAUGAACUUAUGUUUCCAAAGCAUGAGUAAUUGCUAUGUUUAUGAGCGGUUCAGUAGAAAUGUGCUCAACUUUACAAAUUUGAGCAUGAAUAAGAGUAUUGGAUCAGCCGGGUAUCCUAAUAUGGCCACACAUUUUAAUUAUUGUGCGUUAAUAAUAAAAAAGUCUUUAUGACUGAAGAAGUGUGCUCAACUUUACACAUGUGGACAUGAAUAUGACUAUUUUUUCUCAGAAAGUUUUUAUAAUACGGUCACGGAUUUAUAUUAUUGUAUCCUUCCUCCAAAAUCGCCUUUAAAUUGACACUGCACCUUACUAAUAUGGGCACAAAUUUUUGUCUUAGCGAAUAAACCCAAUGCCCUUCUUUCACAGUAUGAAGAAGAUAAGUUCAUCAUUUCUGCUUACUAGUGCCGUAUUUUUGAAAACGAUGUAAAUCUACUAAAUUUGAGAUUGAGGAAACUCUUUAAAAUUCUUAAAGAUUUUAACUAAUGAAUGCAUCCUUCAAAUACUCUAUUAAUGAGUUGUCUUUCUAACUAUUAAUUAUGCAUUGAAAGCUAAUUGGAGGUGUUAUUGGAAAAAAUAGAUAAAAAUUUCUAUUUAACUCUUUCCUUAAUCCUAAAAUUUGUUCUGAACGGAGGUAGUAUUAUAUUAAAAAAAAUGUAGGUAGUCAAUUCCAUAAGAUGGAGAUAUCGAUUUGCUUUUUGUUUAAAAAUAAUUAGUAGUUAAAAAAAAAAAAAAGAAGACGACUUUUUGUACAAAGUGUCUCAUUUAUACUAUAUUAGACANNNNNNNNNNNNNNNNNNNNNNNNNNNNNNNNNNNNNNNNNNNNNNNNNNNNNNNNNNNCAAAAUUGAAAGAGGAGCUGAUGAAUGAUAGCCUCCUCAGAAUAUUAUUAUUCCGUCAUAUCGACUCUGCAUAUUAGAGUAAGAAUAUAUACAAGUGUGUAUCUGUUAGAGUUAUUGCUAUUCUAACGCUACUAACAAAUAUCUAUUAGAGUUAUAUCUAUUCUAACGCUAUUUUGACUAUACAAAAAUAACNNNNNNNNNNNNNNNNNNNNNNNNNNNNNNNNNNNNNNNNNNNNNNNNNNNNNNNNNNNNNNNNNNNNNNNNNNNNNNNNNNNNNNNNNNNNNNNNNNNNNNNNNNNNNNNNNNNNNNNNNNNNNNNNNNNNNNNNNNNNNNNNNNNNNNNNNNNNNNNNNNNNNNNNNNNNNGAACCACAUGACAAUCAAUGUCGAUGUGUUUUGUUCGCUCAUGAAAAACGGGAUUAGCUGCAAUAUGAAUUGCUGCUUUAUUGUCAUAAUGUAACGGAAUUGGAGUAGGAACAGUAAUGUGAAAAUCAGUAAGUAAAGAAGACAGCCACCGAACUUCACAAACAGUUGAAGCCAUAGCUCUAUACUCAGAUUCGACGAAAGAUCGACUUACAGUCGUUUGUUUCUUCGACUUCCAUGACACUAAGGAAGUACCCAAAAAGAUACAACACCCGGUAACAGGUCUCCUAGUAUCCGCACAAAAGGCCCAGUCGGCAUCUGAGAAAGCUCGAAGCUUUAGAUCAUUUGAAGCUGGAAGAAACAACCCCUUUAAAUAGUACCAUGUAAAUACUUCACCACUGUCAAUGCUGCCUGGAAAUGCUGAUGGUGAGGAGAUUGCAUAAACUGACUUAGUUGUUGAACAACAUAACUAAUAUCAGGUCUAAUGAGUGACAAAUAUAAUAGUCUGCCGAUUAAACGUCUGUAACGUUCUGGGUCUUGCAAAGGUCUGCCCAUGUCGGAACUGAGUUUGAGUCCUUGAAUGUAAGGACUAGUUGGUUUGGAAUCUUGUAAACUUGUGUUUGUAACAAUAUCUGUUAUAAACUUAUGCUGAGUUAACAACAUUUCGUCCGUUGACCGAGCUAUUUCGAUGCCCAAAAAAUACUUGGCAUGUCCAAGAUCUUUAAUAGUAAAUGUCCCAUGCACAUAAGCCUUUAAUUCAUCAAUCAAAGCAACUGAGGGACUAGAAAUCAGGCAAUCAUCGACAUAAACCAAGACAGCAAUGAAUGUAUUACCGUUACCUCGAGUGAACAAACAGUGAUCAAAAGAGGAUUGGCAAAAACCUUCAGCUAUUAAACUUGCAGUUAAUUCCUUGUUCCAUUGUCUGCCAGCUUGCUUCAACCCAUAUAGAGGCCGUUGCAAUUUGCAAACUUGCCCUGGUUUGGCUUUCUCAUACCCUGGAGGUACCUGCAUAUAAAUGUCUUCAUCUAUAGAACCAUGUAAGUACGCAUUAUUGAUGUCAAGCUGAUGCACUGGCCAAGUAAAUGCAGUUGCAAUAGUUAAAAACACUCGAACUAUAACAAGUUUCGCAAUAGGUGAAAAUGUCUGGUUGUAAUCCAAGCCAAGAAGCUGAUUGCACCCUUUAGCAACAAGCCGAGCUUUGUACCUUUCGAUACUGCCAUCAGCAUUAUAUUUAACCCUACAUAUCCACUUACAACCAAUAGGAGUAACAUUAGAAGGCAAAUCAGUAAGCACCCAUGUAUUGUUUUGUUCUAAGGCAGUCAAUUCUUUAUUCAUGGCAAUUACCCAAUUAUUGUUAUUUUUAGCUUGAUUAUAAGUGCAAGGUUCAAUAACUUUGGAUAUUUGAGCAACAAAGGAUAAAUGAGAAGAAUUAAAGUGUAUGUGGGAACUGGUUUGUGGAUUAGUGACAAAAUCAGCAAGCCAAGCUGGGGGUUUUCGUUGUCUAGUACUUCUUCGGUUCGCAGGUUGGAAAACAGGGGACGAUUCUGCUGUGACAUGUUCAACUGAUUCAAAAGAAGCAGAAUCGGGUAUAUUCAAUUGGUCUAGUUGAGGUACACUAUCUCCUUCGGGUACAUACUGUUGGUCUAGUUGCGACACAAAAUCUGUCUCAGUGGAAGGUAUAGGAUACGAUAAAACAUCAAGGUCUGCAUCGGAAAUACAUGUAGGCAAACAAAAAUCAGUGACAGUUUCGGGUUUUGUAUGAUGAAAGGGAAACACUGACUCUGCAAAAACAACAUCCCGUGAAUUGAUUAUAGUCUUUAUAAUCAAGUUGUAUAAUCAAUAUGCUUUUUGCUGUUGAGCAUAACCAAUUAAAACACAUGGAGAUGCCCUUGGAUCGAAUUUCAGUUUAUGAGGUAAGGUAUUUGUAGCGAAACACAGAUAGCCUAUAGUACGGAAGUAACUGUAAUCCACUUGCUGCCCAUGUAGUCGCUCAUAAGGUGUUUGCCAAUUCAAGUUUUCAGAGGGUAAUCUGUUGGUAAUAUGGGUGGCAGUCAACAACAACUCAGACCAGAACUUGGGUGGAAGUUUGGAUUGAUAUAAUAAGGCUCGGCCUAUGUUUAACAAUGACCGAUGUUUCCGUUCGACAACUCCAUUCUGCUGCGGAGUGUAAACACAAGAUCNNNNNNNNNNNNNNNNNNNNNNNNNNNNNNNNNNNNNNNNNNNNNNNNNNNNNNNNNNNNNNNNNNNNNNNNNNNNNNNNNNNNNNNNNNNNNNNNNNNNNNNNNNNNNNNNNNNAAAAAAAAAUUUCAGGGCAGAGAAUACUUGAUCUUUACUUUUCAACAUGUAAGUCCAACAAAACNNNNNNNNNNNNNNNNNNNNNNNNNNNNNNNNNNNNNNNNNNNNNNNNNNNNNNNNNNNNNNNNNNNNNNNNNNNNNNNNNNNNNNNNNNNNUUGAAAUUCGGCUAGGUGAAAAAGGAAUUCUGGUUUGUUUGGCAAUGGGACAAACAGAACAAAUCAAAUCAGCAUAAUCACAUUUUGAAAUACCAUCAACAUGCUUCAAUCUCUUAUGAGCAACAUGCCCUAAUCUAGCAUGCCAAAGCAUAGCUAAAUGUCUAUCAUGUUCACCACAACCAGUGACAGAAAAACAACUUAUUUGCUUAUUAAAAGAAUCUCUAGUCACAAAAUAAAGAGCUUCAAUAACUCUUCCUUCUCCCAACACCUCCUUAGUCAGUAAAUCCUGGAAUAAACAAUGUUCAGGGAAUGAGUGUAUUGACAAAUGACAAGUCCGGGUGAGCAAGUUAACGGAUAACAAGUUGUAGCUAAAUGAAGGAACAUAUAGAACAUUGUACAAAAUUAUCCGAUCAUUCAAUUUUAUGUUCCCUAUGUGUGUGACUUUUCUAGUGGAGUUAUUAGGUAAACGAAUUGUUUUGGGUGGAUUUAACUGAAUAACUUGAUCAAGGAAGGAUAAUUUGGGUGUGAUAUGGUCAGUUGCACCAGAAUCAAUUAUCCAAUUAUCCUUGCAAUUAAAAUCAAUACCAGUAAUAACAGAAUUGAGUAACGUACCUGCGAAAUUCACGUUUCUAACUGCCUCCUCAUCGGUUUCAGGAAACCCUCCUUUAGCUUGAAGAAACUUUUGAAACUCCUGCUAGAUAUAAUCUGAUACCCCUUUGUCUUGAGCAUCAUUACCCCUCUGGUUUGAGACAUGUUGUUGCAGUGGAGAGUCUGUAACUGCAAUCUGUGCAACAUUAUUUGCACUGUAAUAUUUUCUCACAUCUACCCCCUUCUUCUUUUGUAACUCGAUGAACCAACCAGGAUACCAUGAAUUUGAAAACAAUCUUCUAUAGUAUGCCCACCCAUUUUACACUUGGUGCAAUACCUCUUUUUUCUAUCCUCUUUCUUGGUAUAACAAGUGCUCCUGUUAUUGUUUCUAGAGCUGCUGGCAUUGUCUGAAUAGUUGUUGCUUCCCCUUCGAGCCAUCAUAGCAACAGCAGUUUCAGCAGAUGUAACACUACUGGUUUGCACUUCUCUCUGCUUUUCUACGCUCAUAACCAUAGAGUAAGCCUUGUUGAUCGAAGGUAAAGGUCCUGCAAUAACACCUGGUUAUUCACAUUAUCGUACUCAUCGCCCAAACCCAUCAAGAACUACAUAAGCCUUCUGUUAUUGUCAUAAUCUGUAAUUGUAGUUCCCCUCUCACAGCAUACUGGUAAAGGAGCUAGACACAAUAGCCCAUCCCACUUCUUCUUAAGUUUUGUAUAAUACCCAGUCACAGAAUCAUCUCCCUGUUUGUAACCUGUAAUUUCUCUUUCAAUCUGAUAAACCAUAGGCCCAUUGCUUUCGCCAUAUCGCUGUUUCAGCUCAUCCCAGAGGGCUUUUGCGUUUUUGCAAAAAAUGAAAGCAUCGGAUAUUUCUUUUGACAUAGCAUUAAGCAACCACGACACUACCAUACUGUCCGCUGUCAACCACUUCUCAUAAUCAUCAGAAUCUGGUUCUGGGGCUUUUAUUUUCCCAUUUACGAACCCUAACUUUUUCUUAGCUCUCAGUGCUAUUUGUACUGCUCUGCUCCAGGAAAGGUAAUUAGGCCCUUUCAAAGGAACACUCACAAGACUAAAUCNNNNNNNNNNNNNNNNNNNNNNNNNNNNNNNNNNNNNNNNNNNNNNNNNNNNNNNNNNNNNNNNNNNNNNNNNNNNNNNNNNNNNNNNNNNNNNNNNNNNNNNNNNNNNNNNNNNNNNNNNNNNNNNNNNNNNNNNNNNNNNNNNNNNNNNNNNNNNNNNNNNNNNNNNNNNNUGAAAAGGAUCAAAGCAGCCAACAAAAAAGGAAUUUCAUAAAAUAGAAAUAUACAAAAUUGAAAGAGGAGCUGAUGAAUGAUAGCCUCCUCAGAAUAUUAUUAUUCGGUAAUAUCUACUCUGCAUAUUAGAGUAAGAAUAUAUACAAGUGUGUAUCUGUUAGAGUUAUUACUAUUCUAUCGCUACUAAUAAAUAUCUGUUAGAGUUACAGCUAUUCUAACGCUAUUUUAACUAUAAAAAAUAACCACACAAAUAUACUUUAUAUUUGCUUUCACAUUUUACAAUAUCAACAAUGAAUAGAGGUCUGCCGAAGUCCACUUUUGAACUUAAAUUGGUUUUGCGAUCACACUAAUUGGAAAUUGUCUGGAAUACCUGGGUAUGGGGCCAAUAUACUAGCUUUUAAUAGAUACCUUUGCAGUUUGAAGAUGAUGAAUUGAGCAGUAUUAUCAGUAGUUCAAAUUCACGAGUUCAUCAAUCUAAUCCAAUCUUCAGGACUAGCUAUUUGCUGUUUGAUUGUUCGCGCAUGUCCAUGGAUAUCCACUCAUUUCUCAAACCUAUCUCCUCCUUUCUCUUCAUUCUUUUACUGCGACACAUCAAAAUCGCCAUUUCUAAACCUCCUUACACUCCAACUGACAUAAUCCUUUCCAAUUGUGGCUUUUCAGGCCAAACAACCGCACCUGAUGGCAGCAAAUGGACUGGUGAUUUAAACUCCAAAUUUGGCCCUGUAGAUCAUUCUAAUUCAACCAAAUCAGUAUCCGCCAUCGCUCUUAGGCAAGGCAGCUCUGUCGCGUCUGUUCCUUACAUGACAGCUCGCAUCUCUCAAACCCAAUUCACUUAUACAUUCCCUGUUACUGCUGGUCAAAAAUUUAUCCGCCUCUUCUUCUACCCAUCUAAUUAUCAAGGCGGAUUUAACAAGUCUAAGGACUUCUUUGACGUCAAAACAGGACCUUUCACUUUACUCAAGAACUUCAGUGCCUCUCUUUAUUCUUCUAACCGGCAAGAGACUUUCUUUAAAGAAUUCUGCUUAAAUGUUGCAGAGAAUCAACAACUGAAUUUAACUUUUUCUCCAUCUUUCAAUUCCUAUGCUUUUAUUAAUGGAAUUGAGAUUUUAUCCAUGCCUGCUAAUCUUUACCAUACGCCACCAGAGAUUAAAGGUCUUAAAUUCAUCGGCGAAAGAGAACAGUUUUAUGUGGGUAAUGGCACUGCAUUAGAAAAUAUUUAUAGAUUAAAUGUUGGAGCAACCACCGUUCCGUCUACGAGUGAUACUGGCAUGUAUAGAUUAUGGGAUGUUGAUAACAUGUUCUCAAAUGUCGGAGCCCUUGUCGCUGAUGGUUCGGGUCUUUCUCUUAAUUAUUCAAGAAUUCCAGCUUAUAUAGCACCCGAUGAUGUUUACUUGACAGCUCGGCAAAUGAGAAUCAUUGAUACUCAUUUGACUUGGAUUUUACCAGUUGAUCGAGGAUUCAAGUACCUUGUAAGGCUUCAUUUUUGUGAAUUUCAUGAAGAUGUUGAAAUUAACAUGAGACGAUUCAAUGUCUAUUUCGACAAUCAGACGGCGAAUCUGGGUUUUGAUGUUAUUGAAUCAAGCGGUGGUGUGUUGACUCCUAUAUAUAAUGACUAUAUAUUCGCAACUGGGAAGGAGAAAGGAGAGGUUGCAGAUGAUUAUAUCAUUUUAAUAACUUUAAGGCCGAAUUCUUCUAGUAUGUUAGGUGAUUCUUUCUUGAAUGGGCUUGAAGUUUUCAAGUUGAAUGAUUCUAACGGUCAUCUUGCCGGACCUAAUCCUGUUGUGUCUGUCUCUCCAACAACUAACAAAGCGCCGGCCAGCCAGCCACCAUCAACAACAAACAGCAAGUCCAAUACUAAAAAGGUACUGUUCCUUGCAUUUGGUGGUGGUUUGAUAAUAAUUUCUUUGUUGGGUUGUUUAGUUGCUUGGCAACUGAGGAAGAGAAAGCAUCAUCAUGGAGCUUAUUAUAAAUCAUUAAGCUAUUGUUUGCGGUUGAAAUCUUACAAAGGUAAAUCAUCAAGGACAACAGCUUCUUCCUCUCUACCGCAAGAACUAUGCCGCCAUUUUUCACUAAAAGAGAUUAAAGAAGCAACAAAUGGUUUUGAUGAGAGUUUGAUAAUUGGUUCAGGUGGAUUUGGAAAUGUUUAUAGAGCUAAUUUUGAUAAUGGAGCUACGACCCUUGCAAUCAAGCGCUUGAAUCGAGAGUCUCGACAGGGUGCUCGCGAAUUCAAGACAGAGAUAGAAAUGCUCUCCCAACUCCGCCAUGUCAAUCUUGUAUCUUUAAUAGGAUAUUGUAUCGAUGGAGGUGAAAUGAUACUAGUUUAUGAUUAUAUGAUAAAUGGUACUCUUCGAGACCAUCUCUAUGAAAAUAACAAGAAACCACUUGAGUGGAAGCAAAGGCUUGAGAUAUGCAUUGGAGCUGCGCGGGGAUUUCAUUACCUUCAUGCUGGUGCUUCACACACUAUAAUUCAUCGAGAUAUAAAGACUACCAACAUUUUGUUAGAUGAAAAUUGGGUUGCUAAACUCUCAGAUUUUGGAUUGUCAAAAAUUGGUAUAAACAAUUCUGCAAUUAGUACUGUAGUAAAGGGUACAUGGGGAUAUUUGGAUCCUGAAUAUGCUCGACGCCAUCAAUUAACAGAAAAAUCUGAUGUGUACUCAUUUGGUGUUGUAUUGUUUGAAGUGCUAUGUGCUCGGAAAGCAGUCAACCGCAAUUUGGAUGAAGAUGAGGUGAAUUUAGUCAAUUGGGCGCGAAAAUGCAUCCAAAAUGGGAAUAUUCAUCAAAUAAUUGAUCCUGAAUUAGUAGGAAAAAUAUCUCCAGAGUGUUUUAAUAAAUUUGUAGAGAUUGCAGAGAGCUGUGUGCGUGAUCAGGGUAUUGAUAGACCUUCUAUGCAUGAUGUAAUGGAGAGGCUUCAGUUCGCAUUGGAGUUGCAGCAAGCUGCAGAUUCUGAGAAAGAAAAAGUGAAUCCUGGAGGUGAAUGUUUAUAUCCUAAAGUAUCAUUUCAUCCUUCUCGAUAUGCAAAUAUAUUUGGUGGGUCCGAGUUGGCUUCAAGUAAUGCAAGUGGGUUAAUGGAUCUUGAUACUGAUACAGAUAUUACUACUGGAUAGACUUUUCCCAGUACGUUGUCUGGUAGCUUAACGUCUAGCCAUGUCUUCUCUGAUACUAUCAACUCUUGAAGAAACUAGAAAUAUUGGUUUUCUGUCUUGUGAUUUUUGUAAUUGGGAAGUGUGUCUAUGUUGUUUGGUUAAUGUUUCUGUCUUAAUUUGUCUAGAAUGAUUAAUGUGUUUUUGAAAUAGUAGGAAUUGUUAAGAAAAUAAUCAUAAUACCAAAGUUGGGUAGUGUAGGCUUCUCAUCGAACGUCUCAUUCCUUAUUGUAAAGUAGCAAUCAUUAUUCAUAUGAAUCUAAAAAAAUUAUCGCGCUUUAAUCAAGAGUGGAGGAGAUCAUUAGAUUUUUUUUUUCUAAGAAAAACCAAAAAAAAAAAAAAAAAAGAGAUAAUUGGAGUAGCAAUGAAAAUAAAGCAGCCUCAUGUGGAUCAUGCAUAAGAUAAAAGAAAAGAAAAGACAUAUUAAGCGCAGAAAACACGUCGAUUAUAAAUCAACGUUGUAAUGCUAUGUGUGGAUACCUGAAAAUGGUGGUGCUGGUCUCAUUCUAAAACUAUAAAGAAUGACUUGGAAUAAUUGUUUAAGGUCAAGCUUAUUAAUUGUUUAAAUAAAUGAAUUAUGGUUGUAAUCAGGAAAGUAGAUUAAAUAUUUCAAAAAAAAAAAAAAGUAAAUUAAGGGUGAUAUGAUGGGCCAGGCUUUGCAGCCCAAAGUCAUGAGCCUGGGCUCCACCUUGAACAAAAACUUAAGGGUUCAGUGAGGAUUGCUCCACCUUGAAAAAUUAUAUAUUUUCAUUUAGAAAAAAAAAAAAAAAAGAAAGAUAAUUUAGUAUUUUUUUUUAGUUGUUAAAAUUAAUUAUUCUCUAAUUCAUAUUUAAUUUGGUGAGAAUUUCCAUCAUAAUUAAAAAAGUGAAACAAGGACUGCAACGCCCUAACGUCUUAUUAGUUUCUCCAUUUUCCAAUUCCACCACUCACUUGGCCAUCCUUAUUAAAUUUACAGUUUCUGCUCUUAACCAGACAAGCAAGCCAAGAAAUUCCAUGAAAAUGAAUGCAGAGAUACUUGCCCUUACUGGAGCUGCCCUAGGUACAAUCGUUUUAUUAUUUCUUAUCUGGUUCACAGUUUUCUUUUAUUGCAAAAGGAAAAGAAGCAGUGAAGAGCACAUGAUUCCCAUGCCGGAAGGCAUUUGCCGCCAUUUUACAGCUAAAGAGAUAAGAAACGCCACCACCAACUUCGACAGAGAUCUUCUAAUCGGAGAUGGAGAAUUUGGUAGAGUAUUCAAAGGUUACUUGGACAGUGAAAAAACCACACCAUUAGCUAUUAAAGCUCUUAAACCUAACUCAAGCCAAGGAUCUGAUCAGUUCUGGGCAGAGAUUGAGACGCUUUCGAAGCUCCGUCAUCCUCAUCUCGUAUCUCUGAUAGGUUACUGCAAUGAUCAACGUCUCAUGGUCCUCGUUUACGAGUACAUGGCCCACGGAACUCUGCGUGAUCCUCUUUAUCAAACGCAUAAUCCUCCACUCCCAUGGGAACAAAGGCUAGAGAUUUGCAUUGCAGUAGCACGCAUACUUCAUUAUCUUCAUGCUGGCGAUUCACAUACCAUAAUACAUCGAGAUAUAAAGACUUCUAACAUUUUGUUAGAUGAAAAAUUGUACUUUCAAAAGAAUACUUCCAUCCGGUUUUGAAACUGAGUUUAAAUUUAUAAUAUUUCACAUGUAUAAUUAAAAACCACUUUAGGAUAUUGUAAUCUUAACACCGACAUUUUGAAUUUGGCCUCCAAAAGAAAAAGAAUGAAAAUUCUUAGGGAAGUCACCAUUGUGGUUACAAUGCAUAACACUGGAGUUUUUUUUUUUUUAUUUUGUAAAAACGUAUUAAUGAAUAUAACUGCAGAGAUUGUCUAUAUAAUUAAUGUGGCAAGAUUUAAAUGAAUACAUUUUGUUAACGUUAUGCAAUAAUAAUUAAUUAUAAGGGCAGGAGAAUAUAGUAGACACAAAAAAAAAAAAAAAAAAAAAAAAGAGACAAAAGAAUCAUAUUUUAUUUUUAUUUAGUAUUAGGAGGGAAUUCGAACCUGAAUCUAUUACUAGAUAGUAUAUACACUUCCCACUAAGUUAAGUCAAAAUUUUUUUAAACACUUAUUUAUUGUAUUGGUAUAUAGAUGAGUCAAUCUACAGAUAUAAACAAAUAAUAUCCCCUAUUAUCUAACUUGAAUUUAUUUAUCACAAUCAUCUCUGCUUGAAUUUAUAUAUAUAAGUAUAUAUUAUGUAUAUGUAAAAGAACAGAAAGCAUGUAGAGAAAUGCUAAAUGAAAAGCAAAACACUUUCUUUGUUGGAAAUAAAUGUCAAUAAAAUUGAGUUUAAUUAAAUGAAUAAAAAGACGAACGACAGCCACAUAAGAGCUAAAAAGGUAAGGAGGCUUAUUAUCUGUGGAAAUAUCAACGAUUCUGGUUUCUCUAUCAAGUGAUAAUAUAGAGAACAACAUGACUAAUAAUUGUCGUGCUUUUACCAACAGCGAAGGAGAUAAUUUGGAGUGGCAUAAUUGUUAAAGAUGAUGGUGCUGGUCUCUUCUAAAACUAUAAAGAAUGACUUGGAAUAAUUGUUAAAGUCAGCCUAAUUGUUUAAUUAAAUAAAUUAGAUAGAAGUAAUAGUACAUACGUAUUUUAAGAUUUUGUUUUCUAAAUUAUUUUCUUUUCCUUUACUAAUUGAGAUUAUAAAUUUAUUUAUUAAAUGAAUAACCCCAUUUACAUUAAUUUCUUACUAAACCAUUCAGUUCAAGGGUGUGCGCCGUAAUUCUCAUACUAGUUCUUAGUGAGAGUUAAAAGUAGCUUUUCCAGGAAUCAAAGUCCCCUUUUUUCUUUUAAUUUUAUGUAAGAAGUAUAUCUUUAGCCCUGUCUUGUCUAAUAAUUUCCAAGCGAUGUUGCUCUGUUACAGAACCAAAUCAAACCAACCAUGAACGCGUCUAGCUGCCGUAGAAGACUUAGAAAAAAAGUGAAACAAGGACUCCUUUGCCCUCCAAGGCCCUAAUGUCUCAUUAGUUUCCAAUUCCACCACCACUUAUAGGAGAUAUUAUUUAAGUCAUAGUCUACACAUAUUAAAUAUCACAGCACCAUUGUCUAAUAAUCAUCACAGUCCAAUAUACUUAGCCAAACCCAUAGUUAGUUACUUGUACACUAAAUCAUAUAUACUCUCUUGUAAAUAGAUAUUUUGAUAACAGUGAGAAUUACAGUUUCCAGAUGCAGCAGAGAAUCAAAAAUCUCUGCUAUUUUCAUUCCUUCUUUCCUUUAUUCAUUUCCGUACUGAUAUUGUCCAUUGUUUUUUUAAGCUUGCUUAAUCCUGUUCAUGGUAUCAAAGCAGGUUAAUUGAUCUGUUUCUUGGAUUUCUGCAAUUCAAGAGUAAAAUUUAUUUUAGAUCUGGUUGAACAUCAAGAUGAUGACUCUAGAAGAUGUGGCAAGGCUUAUUGCUGCAGUUACUAGCAAAAAUCAUGAUAAUGAUCCUCUAAUGUGAAUAACUCAGAAUCUCCUGGAUUUCGGUUGGUGAAUUCUUCAUUAAAAGGACCAGAGGAUUAUCUCUCAUGGAGCAGACGUGUAAUGGUAGCUCUCAGGGCGAAGAACAAGCUAGGUUUAUUAAUGGAACCAUAGCUCAACCUGAUUCACAGUCAGAGGAAUAUGAGAGGUGGUUACAAGCAGAUAGCAUGGUAGCUUCGUGGAUCAUUAAUGCUGUAUCCAAGGAGAUAUCAGAUGCCUUUGUAUUUUGCAAAAUUGCAAAAAUACUUUGGGAUGAGCUAAAACAGAGGUAUGGAGAGUGUAAUGGCCCAAUGAUAUAUAAGAUUGAGAGAGAAAUUGCAAGUUACAAGCAAGGAAACGAGUCUGUAACAAGUUUUUAUACAAAUCUCAAAAGAAAAUGGGAUGAAUUACUGUGUUUGGCACCUUUGCCUACAUGUUGUGGUCAAACAAAUGCAAUUACAGAAUAUGACAACAAUAGAAGGUUAAUGCAGUUUCUAAUGGGACUAGGUGAUGAAUAUGACAAUGUAAAGAAUCAAAUCCUUUUAAUGGAUACAUUUCCUUCAAUCAAUAAAGCUUAUUCCAUGAUUUUGAGUGUUGAGAAGCAAAGAGAGGUAAAUACAUUGAAUGUGGAAUCCAGUGAAACUUCAACGGUAUUGUUAGCUAGAAGGAACUACAACAGCAAUUACAACAAUCUAGGUGCAACUGGUAACAGGAAACCAUACUACAACAAAUAAGAAGACAAGAAAGACAAGUAUUGCCUCAAAUGCAAAAUGAAUGGCCAUACCAUAGACAACUGCUUCAAAAUCCAUGGAUAUCCAGACUGGGUCAUUGAGUUACAAAAGAAAAGAGGAGGCAACAUGACUGGAACAAACACGGUGAAUGCAGUUCAGAUGGAUGAUACACCUCUGUAGCAGCAGUCCACACCUUUUGCAGCAGCAAAUUGAUUAUCAGAUGGAGCAAGUUGAUGCCGACAUCAAGAAUGUUCAUUUUGCAGGUACUUUACUCAAUUCUGUCAUUUAUAGCAUUGAUUUUAACUGCAAAAGUAACUGGAUAAUAGACUCAGGUGCAACAGACCAUAUCACUGCUAAUCUAUCAUUUUUUGACCUUGUACAUAAACUGAACCCUCCCAAAACCAUUAGACUACCUGACAAUUCUACCAUACAGGUUACUCACAUUGGAAAUGUUAAAUUGAACAAUAGAAUUACUCUAUACAAUGUGUUGUAUGUGCCUUCCUUCAGCUGCAACCUCAUUUCUGUAAACUUACUCACCAAAACAUGUCAUUUGUCUGUGCACUCAUUUCCCGAAUACUUCUUAUUCCAAGAUUUACAGACUGAGGAAUUACUGGCAGUGGGAAAAGAGUAUGAAGAUCUAUACUACAUGACAAAAGACUCUUUCUUUCAAAAUAAGGGAAACAAUAUGACAGCUCAAUGUAGUAGUCAUAAUAAACAUCUAGCAAUGUUGUGGCAUUCUAGAUUAGGUCAUAUCUCAAAUAAGAGAUUGAAACAUGUGAAUGAUGUACAUGACUGUGAUUUUGUGGAUAUGGCAUGUUCUGUUUGCCCUAUAACUAAACAAACCAGAUUACCUUUUUUCACUAGUCAAAUUUCUACCUUAAAACCUUUUGAGAUUAUACAUAGUGUUAAAUCUGUUACAAAUGCAGUGUAUAUGUUGACCUUGGUGGAUGAUUACUGCAGAUACUGCUGGACUUACAUGCUAACAACCAAGAUUCAAGUACCAUCUGCCUUGAAAUCCUUUUACUAGUUAAUUCUUACCCAAUUCCAACAAAAUAUCAAGAUCUUUAGAUCUGAUAAUGGCUUAGAAUUCAUAAAUUCUGAAUGUCAGAAGUUUUUCCUUGAAAAAGACAUUAUUCAUCAAAGAACUUGUGUAUAUACUCCUCAGCAGAAUGGAGUAGUGGAAAGGAAACACAGAACCUUAAUAAAUAUUGCUAGAGCUAUAUUCCACCAAGCCAAAUUCCCAACCCAAUUCUGGUCUGAAACCUUGUUAUCUGCAACCUACAUAUCCAAUAGAAUUCCUUUUGAAAAUCUCAAAUGGCAAACACCUUAUGAAAGAUCAUAUAAUAAACCUCCAGAUUAUUCUCACUUCAGAGUAAUUGGAUGUUUAUGUUACUCAACUAAUACACUGCCACACAAACUGAAGUUUGAGCCCCGAGCACAUCCUUGUGUGUUCCUUGGUUAUUCUCAACAGCAUAAAGGGUAUAAAUUGUACAAUCUCAGUACCAAAACUUUAUUCCAUUCCAGAGAUGUGAUCUUUAUUGAAACCACUUUCCCUUUUCACCACAAAACACCUGAAACCAUAACAAAUUUUACACUACCAGCUUGCAUUUCUGAUGCAUAUCUAUCCUGAAUUUCAUUUCCCACAACAACAUUUGAUAUUUUUCCAGCAAGUUCACACAGAAAUACUUCACAAAUACAUCCUCCUUCCCCACCAAUCAUAGAAAAUGAUACAUCUCCCUCAUCUUCAGCUAAUAGAACACCUAAUUUGUCUCCACAAGGCAUAUCACAGCCCAAUUCUACUGAACCAGCUAAUAUACAACCAAACAUUCUUGAAUCAUUAUCAGCAGAUCCAAUACAGGCUCCUGUUUUAAAAAAUGUCAUCAGAACCAAACAUACACCAGCUUUGUUACAAGACUUUGUGGUUUCUCAUAUCUCCUCCACUCACACACUAGCUUCUAGUCAUUUCACACCCUCACACCUAAACUUUGUUGCACAUGUGUCUAAAGUCCAGGAACUUAGAAAUUAUAAUCAAGCUAAAAAUGAUAAAAAUUGGGUAAAUGCCAUGCAUGAAGAAUUAACUGCUCUUGAAAACAACAAUACAUGGAUACUAACUGAGUUACCCCCUAAUGUAAAACCUGUGGGGGUGUGUGUGGAUAUACAGGAUAAAGGAUAAACCAGAUGGAAGCAUUGAUAGAUACAAGGUCAGACUUGUGGCAAAGGGUUCCAGCCAGUUGCUGGGUCUAGAUUACAACCAGACCUUCUCUCCUGUGGCAAAGUUAGUAACUGUAAGAGUAUUCUUAACUGUGGCAGCAGCUAAAGCUUGGCCUGUUCAUCAACUGGACAUCAACAAUGCCUACUUGCAUGGGGCCAUUGAUGAAACUAUAUACAUGCAAGUACCACCAGGUUAUGAUAAAGCUCACAAAGGUCAAGUAUGUAAAUUGCAGGCAGGAAGACAAUUGAAGCAGGCAGGAAGACAAUUGAAUAAGGAACUUUCUGUAAGCUUAAUUUCUACAGGUUUUCAACAGUCCAUGUUUGACAACUGCAUGUUCACAAAGGGCAAAGGAGAUUCUUUUCUUGCUAUUUUGGUCUAUGUUGAUGAUUGUAUUAUAACAGGACCAUCCGAGGAGCUAAUUCAAGACCUCAAAGACUAUCUUCAUCAUAAAUUUACUAUAAAAGACCUGGGAUAUGCCAAAUAUUUUCUAGGUAUUGAAAUUGCCAGAUCAAAUGAAGGAAUUCUUCUCACUCAACACAAGUUCAUCAUAGAUAUCAUCAAAGAUUCUGGAUUGCAUAAUGCAAAAAUAAGCUCCAGUCCUUUCAUUCAGGGACUAAAGCUCAGUUCAGCCAUGGGAUCUCCUCUCUAAACUCAAGAUGUUUUCAGGAGACUUGUUGGCCGACUUCUGUAUUUGUCACUUACCAGACCUGACAUUAGCUUUACUGUCCAGUAGCUAAGUCAGUUCAUGCAAACACAUGAUCAACAACACCUUAAGGCUGCAUUGACAGUGGUCAAGUAUUUGAAGGGCACCAGUUAUAGAGGACUCUUCCUCCCAUCACAGAAUGACAUGAAGCUAAGAGCUUUUUCUGAUGCAGACUGGGCAUCAUGUGCUGAUACAAGAAAAUCUACCACAGGAUGCUGUAUUUUCCUAGGCACUGCUUUGGUCUCAUGGAAAUAAAGAAAAAGAACACAGUCAGCAGGUCCUCUGCAGAAUCUGAGUACAGGUCCAUGGCUACAACAGUUUGUGAGAUAAAAUGGCUGGAUUCCCUUCUCUCUGAUUUCCACAUUGAAAUUCCAAAACCAAUACCACUUCAUUAUGACAACAAAGCAGCAAUUCACAUAGCUGCAAACCCAGUUUUUCAUGAAAUAACCAAACACAUUGACAUUGAUUGUCAUGUUGUCAGAUCCUAGCUUCUCUUAGGCUUCAUUAGCAUACCUUACCUACCUUCAACUUGGCAACUUGCAGAUGUGUUCACUAACCCCCUGUCCACAACCACAUUUCAGUCAUUUUCUUCCAACCUUGGGUCGGUUGACUUCUCCCCACCACCAGCUUGAGGAGGGGGUAUAGGAGAUAUUAUUUAAGCCACAGUAUGCACAUAUUAAAUAUCACUGCACCAUCGUCUAAUAAUCAUCACAGCCCAGUAUACUUAGCCAAACCCAUAGUUAGGUACUUGUACACCAGAUCAUAUAUACUCUCUUGUAAAUAGAUAUUUUGAUAACAGUGAGAAUUACAGUUUCCAGAUGCAGCAGAGAAUAAAAAAUCUCUCUGCUACUUUCAUUCCUUCUUUCCUUUAUUCAUUUUCGUACUGAUAUUGUCCAUUGUUUUCUUAAGCUUGCUUAAUCCUGUUCACCACUCACUUAACUACCCUUAUUAGAUUUACAGUUUCUGCUCUUACCCAGACAAGCAAGCCAAGAAAUUCCAUGAAAAUGAAUGCAGAGAUACUUGCCCUUACUAGAGCUGCACUAGGUACAAUCAUUUUAUUAUUUCUUAUCUGCUUCACAGUUAUCUUUUAUUGUAAAGGAAAAGACACAGUGAAGAGAACAUGAAUCCCAUGCCGGAAGGAAUUUGCAGCCGUUUUACAACUGAAGAGAUAAGAAACGCCACCAACAACUUUGACAGAGAUCUUCUAAUCGGAGAUGGAGGAUUUGGUACAGCAUUCGAAGGUUACUUGUAUUGGAUAUCGGUGUAGUGAUAAACUCCAAGAUUGAUUAAUAAUUUCUAACAUAAAAAAUAAUAAUGGAAAGACAACCAAAAUAAUACUAACACAGAACACCAAAAUAAAAUUAUAUUAAUAAGAAGCAAACUUUCACAAAACUUAGGGAAAGAAUUUCUUACUUGUUUGUUGGACACAUGCAACACAAAAGAACUAGCUUUUUUAUACUAGUGAAAAAGUGGUGAAGGUCUGAAAAAUCUUAGACCAAUAAUUAUUUUUUAUUUUAGUAUCUAGAUCUUUCUCUAAUAAUAUCUAGAUUUUUUUCUUUCUAAUUAAUUCUACGCACAAAUGAUGUAGAUUUUUAUUGUCAAAGAUUCUAGGCACCAAUUAUUAAAUCUUGGCAAAUUAAUUAUCUAGAAAAUUGUAGUUUAUGUCAAAGAAGACGGUGAUAAAAAACACACCAGUAGCUUUUAAAGCUCUUAAACCUAAUUCAAGUCAAGGAUCUAAAGAGUUCUGGACAAAGAUUGAGAUGCUUUUGAAGCUCCGUCAUCCUCAUCUUUUGUCUCUGAUCGGUUACUGCAAUGAUCAACGGCUCAUGGUCCUCGUUUACGAGUACGUGGCCCACGGAAACCUCCGUGAUCAUCUUGAUCGUGGUCAUAAUUCUCCACUCCCAUGGAAACAAAGGCUAGAGAUUUGCAUUGGAGCUGCUCGUGGAAUAAAAUAUCUUCAUGCAGGUGCGGAGCAUAGUAUCAUAAUCCAUCGUGAUAUCAAAAGCACUAACAUUUCACUUGAUGAAAAGUGGGUCCCAAAAGUUUCUGAUUUUGGACUGUCGAGAUUGGGCCCUACAAGCUUAUCUAUGAGCCACGUAACCACCGAUGUAAAGGGUGCAUUUGGGUAUUUAGAUCCUUACUAUUUCACUAACAACUUGAGUGUAAAAUCUGAUGUGUUUAGCUUUGGAGUAUUACUAUUUGGAGUAAUAAUGGAGUAGCAGUACCAGGAUGUACCCGUCGUCAGAGUCCAUCUUAUAGAUGCAAAUGCCCUAUCUACAGACCUAGAUGCUAAUUAAGCAACGAAAGAACAGUAUAUAUUACAGUAUACAAAGCAAACCGGUUCCAUGUAUUAUUCUAAUUAAUAUUUAUGUUGGCUUUGCAAUGGUGUAUUGUAAGUGUUUUUCCCUCAUGUAUUACUGUAUUUGCUCCCAGUAAAGGAUGAUUGUUUGACAGAAUUCAACUUGUUUAUGCACUAUCUUGAUUUUUUUAAAGAUUUUAAAGGAACCCUUAGAAAAAACUUGAAGAAAAAUCAAGAGAGAAUUGUCGGAGCUUGAAACUCAAUUUGCAGUAUUACACCGGACAAGACACACAUUUGACCCAUACUAUUAGCGUCAGAGAAAGAACGAUUUGAUGUCUGUUUGCCAUAAUUUGAUUGUUAUGGUUUUGAUAAAUACUAGUAUUAGUGUGUGUUUCUCUCCUACGAAAAGUACUAUAUGUCAAAGGCUAAGUCAUGCGUUCACAUCAAUUGAUUGCCAUUUGUCUGGCAGUUCAGGAGGAGAUUAGAGUUUUAACCUGCAGAUGUAAACUCAUAUAGAUCCCAUAGAAGUAUUUUGGAAGACAACUUUUAUGUCUUUCCACAUAUGUGACUGUAAAUAAAUUAAAAGGGCCAAGCAUAGAUCUCCAUUCGUUUUCUUAUUUUUAUGCAUCUUUUUAUCUUCUUUGCUGCUUAUUCCUAAGACAGAAGACACCUUUGAAUAAUAAUUAGCAUUCAAAUUAAGUUAAAUGAAUUUGAAUUGGUAUUAUUAUUAAACUAGUCGUUAUUUCGCAUUUUGCACUCGGAUGUUAUAUAUUUAAAUAAAUAUUAUAUAUAAAUGUUAUAUAUAAAUAAAUAUUAUAUAUUUAAAUAAAUAUUAUUAUCAAUUACGUUAUUAUUUUUAAAAAGUUUUUAUUUUUAAUAUAAAUAUCAGAAAAGCUUGAAUACAGAUUUUUUUUUCUUUUUUUUUUUUUUUUGUUAUCAGUUUGGUUUUCGAGAAUAUACGAAAAAUGAAUUAGGGUAUGAAAAAAUUGAACUGUAUGUUCUACAUAUAGAGAGGUCGAUAUAGGCAUAAUUUUUUAAAAAAAAUUUAAUAAAUUCAAAAGUUAUAUUUUUAGCUGGAUCAAGUUGGAUGAUUGGAUAAAUUUUGGUUUCAAAAAUUAUCAAAUAUCAUUGUUAUAUAUUAAAUAUUAAAUUAAAAAAUAAUUACGUUGACAAAUCAAAAAACAUAAAAAAAUAAGGGAAAAAAAGUAAAAAACACAAAAUUUUCUAAAAAAGAAAACUAGGAUAAAGAAUGAAGAGAGCACCUUUGAAAUAGGCUCUGCAUGCUGAUAUUUAUACUUUUAAAAAUAAUUAUUAGUUUAUUGUCAUAUUAAAAUUCAGAGAUUUUUAAUUUAAAAAUUGAACUUUUAUAGUAGUUUUAGAUAAUAACAUUUAUCAUUUUAUUAAGUCAACCUUGUUUAAAUGAAAAGCAUAUUACAGAUUUACAUUACAUAUAAAUAUAUAGAUUUGCUGAUUAAAGGAAGAAGGAUUUUCCACUUUCGGAAUAAGAAUAAUCUGAGCACUGCCAAAGGCUUUCGGAAUGGGCAAACCCAAGUAAAACUCCUUCACUGCACUACACACAUCUCACUGUAUUAUCUCCCAACACUCUCUGUAGAAUCUGCCAUCAAAACCAUCAGGUCCAGGAGCACUAUUUGGAUCAAGCUGCCAAAUAGCCUGUUUAAUCUCAUCCUCAGUUGGAGAUCUUUCAAGGUUUUUGUUAUUUUCCUCAGUAACCAAAGAUGGUAAGUAAUCCAGAAGAGGUUGAUAAAUCUGCUGAGUAUCACUCCACUUGAAGAGAGAAGAAAAAAAAGUGACACCUUCCGCACCCAAAUUAGCUUGAUUAGAAAUCCAUGUCCCUUCCUCGGUCUUAAUAGUGGAAAUACGAUGAAUUCUCCUAGUCAUCUUCACAUAAUUAUAGAAAAAUUUUGUAUUUGAAUCACCAUCAGCGAGCCAUUUAAUAUGAGCUUUUUGCUUCCAGAAGGUCUCCUCAAUCUUAAGCUUUCUAAUCAAGUCACACUGUUUCUCCUGCCAGACUUUCCUGUUGUGCGAUGAAGGGGUUGUAUCAAAAGUAGCUUCAGCUAAUUCCACUUCCUUUUCAGCUUCUUGAACUGCAUCAAAAAUAUUGCCAAAAGUAUUUUUGUUCCAUUCUCUAAUUGCCUUUUUCAAAGCAAAUAACUUAAGACAAAGUCCACGCAUGCCUCCAGGCAAAUUUACUUUUGCUUCAGCCUACAAUUGUGUUAGAGAGAGUAAAGUUUCUUGCCUUUCAAGCAACGCUAUUUGGGACUCAUCUUUCCCGCUUAAGCUUUCCAUUUUUACAUGGAAACUCCUCAGGGGAGCUUUACCUUUGUCGCGACGUCUUCAAUUAUUUGGGAUUUAUGGUCCAUCCCGGUGCCCAUUUUGCUUCAAGUCGGAGACAACUGCUGACCACCUUUUUUAUUUCUGCCCCAUCAUUGCUAAACUUUGGAAUUACUUCGGCUCUUUUUUCCUAGAUACUCUUGAGUCACAAAAUUCUCUGCGGUAAGCGUUGAUCUUUUGGUGGCUUUGUGACAGACCUGAUUCGAGUUUGGGUAAGCUUAGGCGCUUGGUACCACAGGUAAUAGUAUGGUCUGUGUGGAAAAUGUAUUGUAAGUGUAAUUGGGGUAAUAAAGCUUGCUUUCCAGACCUCUUUUUACAAGAUAUCAGUAGGUUGCUAUUAAACUGGAGCAUUGCCAAUUCUGGUAAGAGAUUUGCAGCAACUUGGCCAGCAAAAGAUGAUUGCCACUUCAUUUCGGCUUCUUUUGGCAAAUAAAAAUUAAAGCCAAUGAUUAUUACUUGGAUUCGACCUAGGCAAGAUUGCUAUAAACUGAAUAUUGAUGCGUCUUUCAACAAAUUUUCAGCAGCGGGGGGUGCUAUCCUCCGAAAUAGCCAUGGUAAUUUGUUGCUGCCGCUUGUUUUCCGAUUGAUGCCGGAAUAGCUUAUGAUGCAGAGCUUGAGGUUUUGAUUUGGAGGCUUUCUUGGAGUAUUGAUAAAGGUUUUUAUCCCCUCCAGGUGGAAAUGGAUUGUAUGGAACUAGUUGCUCAUAUUAAUUGGGCACAGUGGAUUAGAGCAGGCCCUUCGGUUUUGCUGCGUGUUGCUGAUUUGUUACAUCUUCACUCAUCUUCCAUUCAUCACAUAUAUCGUGAAGGAAAUCAAGCUGCUCAUUUUUUGGCCACUCAUCACAGACUUCAUCAUACUUCUCUUUCUUUUACCUGUUUUAUUUCUUUGCCUCAUUUGCUUAAAGGAAUUGUAUUAUUGGAGGCUAUAGGGACUACAUAUUUGAGAUAUAAAUAAAAUAAAAAUAUCUUUUAUAUAUAUAGAUUUGCAUUAGGAGAAAUUUCUAUGAACAAAAUUAAAUGGUUUGAUACUUUUGUUGUCAAAUCGUAUAUUAUCAGGAUAUUACAAUAAAUAAGAGCUUCAUCCAAAAUAUUACUCACAUCAUUAAUAUAAACCAAAUUCAAAUAUAAUCUUUAAGAUAUUAAAUAUUAAGAAAGAAAAUAUCCAUAGAAAAUAUUAAGAGAAAUUAUUUUUUCUCAUUUGGAAAGGAUGGAAAAAAAAAAAAGAAAAGAAAAAUAUGUACUAUUUUUCUAAUGAACCGAGAAAAUUAAAAUUUCUUUAAAUUAGAGAACAAAAUAAUGAAUGAAUUAAGAAACUAUAUUGUUUAAUGUGAAAUUUAUUUAUUUUUUCUUUGAUUAUUUGCUUUCUUUCAUUUCUAAAUAAAAGAAACUUAAUUAACUCUAUAAAAUUGCCAAUGAUUAAUAUUGACAAUUCAUAGCUCUAAACAUUUUUUCUUGAGGUUGUGCAUUUCGGUUCUGACCCAAUUCUCAACAAGACUGAAAAUUAAAAUUGUUGUUCAGUUCUUCUCAAAUUUGAAAUUGAAAUCAAAACCGAAACUAAAUGAUUUAGGAACCAAAAUUAGAAAACAAACCAUAAUUUGGUUCAAUUAUAGUUUAAUCCUUAUGUUCUUUGAUUUUGAUUUAUCGAUUCUAAUUUCAAUUUCAUUUUUCAUAUUAAAAAUCAAUAUACUAUCUCUGUAUUGAUACCAUUAAAUUAAAAUAAUUCAAAUAUUAAACAAAGAUUACAAUAUAUAUAUAUAUGUGUGUGUGUGUGAUAAUGCAAAUUAUAAGAUAAUUGUAAUAAUAUUGGAUAGAAUAACCUCCAAUAAUUUUUUUCGAAGGGAUAAAGUAUUUUUAAUGUAACUUUAUUAAAGUUGCCAAACGAAAUAUAUUUCACAUGAAUCACGCUCAUGGGGAACAAACCUUAUCUUCCCUCAGCCAAUCUCGAUUUUUCUUUUCCAAUUAGGAUUUUGUUUCACAAGUUUUCACAAAUAAAAAUUUUAAUUCAGAUAAUAUUUCUCUUUAUAUGUGUAGUUUUUUUAUUAAUUAAAUAGAAAAUAUACGAUACAAAACUGUUACAAAUAGGCUGAAUACAUAAUUUAAUUCUCGAAUUUUGACAAAAAAAUUUUUUAGUACUCUAAAUUUAAAAAUUAACUUUAUGACAAGUUUAAAUAUAUAAUCUAUAAAAGUAUUAUAUGGCCUCUUGAAUCUUAAAAAUGACUUUGUAUUUUCUUGAAUUUCACAUUUAAUCGUAUAACUACUUGAAUUCUAAUUUUUUUAUACUCGUGGAUCUCUGAAGUUGAUUUACAUUUUAACCUGCAAGGUUUGGGAUUGUCCCUAUGUAUAUAUAUAUUAUAUAUUCACCAAAGUUCACCAAAGUAUAAAAAUCAACUACAAAGCAGGGUAACCGUUGAAAAAACAUGAUGAAAAAUUAGUAUAUUUUUGCAAAAUAGAAUGACAAAAUAGUAAUUUCAAAAUUUUCAAAAUUUUUUAUUUAGAGGCAACGAAUUUCUGACAACUUUACAAAAGAAAUGUUGGAACAUCAGUGACAGUGGCAGAUAGAUUCCAUGGCUUUUCUUUUUCAUUUUCCUUCUUUUAGUUCCAAAGAAUGAUCACUUCCACUUCUUUUUCAAUUGUAUAACAAUUUUAUAACCUUAAUCUUUGAUUAAAUUUCUAAACGUAUAACAAUUUAUGGUAAAUGAUAUAUAUGUUUUUUUAAUUUAUAAAUCACAAAUGUUGCAAAAAGUGAAAAAAAUAUUUUAUUUGACGAAAAACCAAACAAGGCCCAACGCAGUCAAAAAGAAAGGGACGCACUAAUAGCAUCAAUCAUUGAGUGAAGAGGCAAAAAUGCACCUCCCAAUAUUAAAAAAAUUGACGCACUCACUACUACUUUCAAAAAAAAAAAAAAAAAAAAAAAAAAAAAGUGUAAGUGUGGAAUUUGCUUUUGCUUUUGCUUUUUAGUUAAUUAAUGGAUAGCAAAUAGAAAGAGCACCAUGUGGAUUGUGGACUGUGCUUUUACUCAUUUAAAGACAAAAAAAAAAAAAAAAAGGAAAACUGAGCCUUCAAUUUGGAUUUUCGAAUAAAGCAUGAAUUUUGUGGACCUCUUCUCACCAUCUUUACAAAAAGCUUUUAAAUAAUUAAUUUAUGUUAACAAUAAGAGGUAAAGAAUUUAAGAUUAUAGCAUUAAUUAGGAAUUUCAACGCCCAAAUUCUAUCUUCUAAUCAUUAUAUUUAAGGAACCCUAUAUCCUAAAUAAAUAGCUAAAAAUUGUUAGUAUAUCAAAAAUAAUAUUUAUUAGAUCAAUUUUUUAAUUGAAUUUGAAUAAAUUCAAGUAUAAAAUGUGCAUUAAAAUUCUUAAUUGACAGGAUCAAUUUUAUAUAAAUUGUUUGAUAAAUUUAAUUUUGAUUUAAUAAACAUAUUUUAAUGUGAUGAGAAUUAUAACAAUUAUUUCACAUUUUCUAAAAUAUAAUUGCAUUUUCCCUUUUUCUUUUUUUGAAGAAAAGAACUUGUAGAACAAUUAUUUCACUUCUAGGUUUUAGUGCAUCGGGUCAUAUUUGUAAGUCCACUCCUCCAUGAGUCUAUAUAUACACAUACUGAGUGUAAGGUGACAAGAAAUGAGCGGAGAGAGGAUAAGAGUUGGAAAAGAAAUGGGUGUUAAUAAUAAUAAUAAUACUCUUCUUGUAUUAUUGUUGGUGCUGUUAAUAUUUUCCAGCACCAAUAAUAGUUGCAGAGCUGCAUUUCUUGAUUACAAGAUAAGCAGUAGAAACACCUCUUUCAGUUGCGACGAUGGAAACCUCGACGACUGCCUCAUCGCCGACGAUUUGGAGGUGGAGUUUUUGCUGGAUUCUGACAUAAGCCGGAUGCUUCAAGAGGGUGGGAAUUCAUUUGCUGGAUAUACAUACACUCCAACUUCGGUACCUGUAUGUAAAAAAGGUCGUUCAUAUAGGAAUUGCAAUUGCCCUCCUUACAAACCACAUAAAAGAGAUGACGAAUGCUAUAAAUAGAUGACGAAUGCUACCGUUAGAUCAUCUGCUUUAUUUCUGCCGUUCAAUCAUCGCUGUUCUGUCUCUUUUUCUCCUCUUUUUUUUUUUUUUUUUCCAAUCCCAUUGUUGUCAUGUUAUUGUCUGAUCAAGAAUGCGUUUCUUCUUACUUCAGUGGGCAACGUAUGUCAGUUUUCGGCAGAAGAAUAAAGAACUUAUGCUUUUGGUUGCUAAUUUUGAUGGCAUUUGUGAAUUAUAUGUAUUUUGGUUGCUCAUUAGUCCCACUAUUAUUAAAACGUUUUAAUUUUUAAAGAUUUGUGUAAUUGAUAAUUAAAUGUUUUUUUUUAAAUAUAAUUAAAUGUUAAUUAAUGCUACAAUUUGAAAAUGAAA
rnacentral:lncRNA from 1 species